rnacentral:tRNA from 1 species
AGGAUAAUAGUUUAAUAAAAACACUUAAAUUGCAUUUAAAAAUUAUCUAAAUAGAUUUAUCUU